rnacentral:rRNA from 1 species
AUUGAACGCUAGCGGGAGGCCUAACACAUGCAAGUCGAACGGAGCGGCGGACGGGUGCGUAAUGCCUAUGAAUCUGCCUGGUAGCGGGGGAUAACGUCCGGAAACCGGCGCUAAUACCGCAUACUAUCAGAUUAGCCGAGGUCGGAUUAGCUAGUUGGUGGGGUAAAGGCCUACCAAGGCGACGAUCCGUAACUGGUCUGAGAGGAUGAUCAGUCACACUGGGACUGAGACACGGUCCAGACGCCUACGGGAGGCAGCAGUGGGGAAUUGUGGACAAUGGGCGAAACCCUGAUCCAGCCAUGCCGCGUGUGUGAAGAAGGCCUUCGGAUUGUAAAGCACUUUAGGUAGGGAGGCGUUACCUACAGAAUAAGCACCGGCUAACUGCGUGCCAGCAGCCGCGGUAAUUC